rnacentral:rRNA from 1 species
GUACACGCUGUGACUAGCAUAUCAUAAGCGGAGGAAAAGUAACUAACAAGGAUUCCCCUAGUAACGGCGAGUGAAGCGAGGAAGAGCUCAAAUUUGAAAUCUUAAGGGGUUUCCCUUUACGAAUUGUAGUUUAAAGAAGUGUUUUCUGUUGAGGUUUUGGUAAAAGUUCUUUGGAAUAGGACAUCAUAGAGGGUGAGAAUCCCGUAUUUGACCAUUUACUUUUCAGCUGUGUGAUACACUUUCAAAGAGUCGGAUUGUUUGGGAAUGCAGUCCAAAAUGGGUGGUAAAUUUCAUCUAAAGCUAAAUAUUGGCGAGAGACCGAUAGCGAACAAGUACCGUGAGGGAAAGAUGAAAAGAACUUUGAAAAGAGAGUUAAACAGUACGUGAAAUUGUCAAAAGGGAAGCGUUUGACACCAGUGUUGUUUUUCUGAAAAUCAAUUAAAGAACUGUUUAUGCUAAGUUGUUUAGACUUUAUCAGCUAACUGUUUAGUUUUGAGCUUUUCUUUAAUGCACUUUUCAGUUAACAAGUCAACAUCAAUUUCUUUUGCUGUAAAAAAGCUUGAGGAAGGUGGCUUGAGAUUCGUCUUAAGUGUUUAUAGCCUCUUGCCUAUGCAGUCGGAGAGAUUGAGGUCUGCAGCGUAGAUCCUUCGGGGCUAAAUGCAUUUGUGCUAAGUUAUAGCAUUUUAUAGACAACUUGUUGACUAUGAUUUGUCUUGUAGCUUACUCGCUUAUGUUAUUUUACCUACGCUUAGGAUGUUGAAGAUGUAGCACAUCAU